CAAAAGCGUACCCCUCAGCACACCAUCAAAGCUGGAUCCAGAUAUGGAGGCACCUUGCCCAGAGUUUCCAAGAGAGACACUUGUAGAAGCGGCGGCCGGGACUUCCCGACAUUGGGCAUAGGCUGAAAGCCCCAACGUAAAGCCCUACAAGGACAAUGCCUUACAUCAACUGAUGACUCUAAGUUUUGUUUUUUUUGUUUGUUUUUUGCGGUUUGUCUUUUAUACAUAGACCUGUGAUGCUUUGUAGCAGCGGCCAUUUAGCUCUAAAGCGGCCACGUGUGCGCAGCUAUGGGGAAGUAAAAGCGCCUGCCUGCUUGCCUAGCAAUUACCUGCUUCCCAGUAGGGGUUUUAUCUACUUCCCAACUCGUAUCUCAUAAGCAUGUAGCUAACUCUGUUUUUACCUAACCACCCACAUGUAUAGCUAACCUAUACUGAAUGCAGAACCCAUAGCUUCACAUAAUCAGACAUACAUGUACAGCCUGGAACCCAACUAUAAAACGAGUGUACUAACGUUAAACUUUUGUUUAAGCUAACACUUCUCCUAGAUUCUCACUCUAGCUAAACAACCCCAUGCUGUCAGUUAAAGUUUCUAGAGCUUAGUAUAUUGUCGAAUUAUUGCUUACUGACAUAGUUUUAACGUAUCAUCUAUUUGCUAUAUACCUAAAAAUUGUGUCUAGCUCGAUUCAAC